rnacentral:ncRNA from 1 species
GAAAGCCGUAUUCGAUGAAAGUCGUAUGUACGGCUUGGAGAAUCUUUUUCUUUCGAGAUCCACCUACAUAUGGGGUAAAAAAGCCAAAAAUAAGUGAUUUUAGC